rnacentral:rRNA from 1 species
AUUGAACGCUGGCGGCAUGCUUUACACAUGCAAGUCGAACGAGUGGCGAACGGGUGAGUAAUAUAUCGGAACGUACCGAGUAAUGGGGGAUAACCAAGCGCAAGAUUGGCUAAUACCGCAUAUUAUUCGUGCGGCCGAUAACUGAUUAGCUAGUUGGUGGGGUAAAGGCCUACAAAGGCGACGACCCGUCGCGGGUCUGAGAGGACGAUCAGCCACACUGGGACUGAGACACGGCCCAGACUCCUACGGGAGGCAGCAGUGGGGAAUUUUGGACAAUGGGGGAAAACCUGAUCCAGCCAUGCCGCGUGUAUGAAGAAGGCCUUCGGGUUGUAAAGUACUUUUGGUAGGGAGGCGGUACCUAAAGAAUAAGCACCGGCUAACUACGUGCCAGCAGCCGCGGUAAUAC